GGAUGAAGUUUUUGCGUAGGCGUUGUGCACAGUUUAAUAAAUAUUGUGUAUUCCCUCUAGGCAUAAACUUUUAUU
rnacentral:pre_miRNA from 1 species